AGAGUUUGAUCAUAGCUCAGGAUGAACGUUGGCUGUGUGCCUAAGGUAUGCAAGUCGGACGAUCCCUUUGAAUUACUUGAGACUUCGGUUGAUUGUUUUUCUUUUUGGGAUAGUGGCAAACGGGUGAGUAACAUGUGGAUUAUCUGCCCUGAAGACGGGAAUAGCUCAUCGAAAGAUGGGGUAAUACUCGAUAGCCUUACAUUCUUUUAGUUUGUAAGUAAAGCUUUUGCGCUUCAGGAGGAGUCCGCAUCCUAUCAGCUUGUUGGUGAGGUAAUGGCUCACCAAGGCUAAGACGGGUAGCUGGCGUGAGAGCGCGGUCAGCCACCAUGGGAACUGAGACACGGUCCAUACUCCUACGGGAGGCAGCAAUUAGGAAUCUUGCGCAAUGGGGGCAACCCUGACGCAGCGACACAGUGUGGAGGAGGAAGGUCUUCGGAUUGUAAACUCCUUUUAUGAGGGAAGAAUAGAUGACGGUACCUCAUGAAUAAGCACCUGCUAACUACGUGCCAGAAGCAUCGGUGAUGCGUAGGGUGCGAACGUUAUCCGGAUUUAUUGGGCGUAUAGAGAAGCGUAGGUGUUUUUGUAAGUCUUUAGUUAAAUACCACGGCUCAACCGUGGGGAAGCUUCGGAAACUACAGAAAUUGAGACAGGAAUGGGCGAAUGGAAUUCCCAGUGGAGCGGUGAAAUGCGUUGAUAUUGGGAGGAACAUCAGUGGCGAAGGCGAUUCGCUGGUCCUUGUCUGACACUAAGGCUCGAAAGCGUGGGGAGCGAAACGGAUUAGAUACCCGUGUAGUCCACGCCGUAAACAAUGGACGCUAGGUGUUCGGUACAACUACUUAAUCCUUCGGGAUUGAAUGGAAGUAUUGAGUACUGCAGCUAACGCGUUAAGCGUCCCGCCUGGGAAGUACGGCCGCAAGGCUAAAACUCAAAUGAAUUGGCGGGGACCCGCACAAGCGGAGGAGCGCGUGGUUUAAUUCGACGGCAAUCGAAGAACCUUACCAGGGUUUGAAAUGUAUCUGCAUGCCCCAUGAAAGUGGGGAGGCUUUCGAAGGUGAUACACAGGUGCUGCAUGGCCGUCGUCAGCUCGUGUCGUGAGAUGUAGGGUUAAGUCCCGAAACGAGCGCAACCCCUAUCCCAUGUUACAAGUGUCUUGGGAAACCGCCUCGGUAAAACGAGGAGGAAGGUGGGGAUGACGUCUGGUCCGCAUAGCCCUUAUGUCCUGGGCUACACACACGCUACAAUGGCCAAUACAGUAGGAAGCCAAAUCGUAAGAUGGAGCUGAUCCUCAAAGUUGGUCUCAGUUCGGAUUGAGGUCUGAAACUCGACCUCAUGAAGUUGGAUUCGCUAGUAAUCGUGAAUCAGCCAUGUCACGGUGAAUACGUUCUCGGGUCUUGCACACACCGCCCGUCAAGCCAUGGGAGUAGGUGAUACCCGAAGGUGUUCUGUCUCUUGUAGAUGGAAUGACGAAGGUAACGCUUAUGACUGGGGUUAAGUCGUAACAAGGUAGCCGUAGGGGAAUCUGCGGCUGG
rnacentral:rRNA from 1 species